rnacentral:rRNA from 1 species
AAUCAACGCUGGCGGCGUGCCUCAGACAUGCAAGUCGAACGAUUAAAGCUCUCUUCGGAGAGUGCAUAGAGUGGCGCACGGGUGAGUAACACGUAAGUAAUCUACCUUCGAGUGGGGAAUACCGUCCGGAAACGGACGCUAAUACCGCAUAAUGCAGCGGCAUCGCAAGAUGACAGUUGUUAAAGAUUUAUCGCUUGAAGAGGAGCUUGCGGCAGAUAGCUAGUUGGUAAGGUAAUGGCUUACCAAGGCUACGAUCUGUAACCGGUCUAAGAGGACGGUCGGUCACACUGACACUGAAUAACGGGUCAGACUCCUACGGGAGGCAGCAGUCGGGAAUUUUGGGCAAUGGGCGAAAGCCUGACCCAGCAACGCCGCGUGAAGGAUGAAGGUCUUUGGAUUGUAAACUUCUUUCGUCCGGGACGAUAAUGACGGUACCGGAAGAAGAAGCCCGGCUAACUUCGUGCCAGCCGCCGCCGUAAU